rnacentral:lncRNA from 1 species
CCUGCGGAGGGUUUGAGGCAGGUCCAGGAGCGAGCCCACGGUCUGCCGACGCGGGGCCAGGGGCGGGCCCCAGGAUCCGGAGCUUCGGGCGGGGCCGAGUCCGGGUUUGGGGCCCGGGAGGCGGGGCCAGUUAGAGCGAGGGUCCCUGGGAUCGUCAGGUCAGGCCUUGGGCUAACGUAGGCACUCGCAGUUCCUCCGCCUUCAGGAAGGUCUUUUUAGCAGGGGCCUUACGGGUGCGCGCUUCGGUCCUGGAGGCCUUAUCCUAGCCUCCUCUCUCCAUCAGCGCCACCCGUCUGGGGCCCAAAAGGAGGGAGCUUUACCUCUGUCCCCCAGCCUUUGGAGUGUCACCAAACAAGCCAUUCGUUCACCAAAUACUUAUUAAGUGCCUGACAACGGAGAUGUAACGGCUUCCAAGGCGAUCGAUCGGGCAGUGUCGGUCUGCAGCUGCUAAGCCAAGAAGAUCUGGAAAGGAGUCAGUCAGAGAGCCUUGGGCUCUGGGAGUGGUGCCAGUUCUACAAGGCCUGGAGCAGAUACGAAAAACCUCCCUUCUUUGCCAAAUGGUCCCCAGCUUCCCCAUUCACUGAAGGCCCUGCGGUCAGGAACAGUCAGGACUUUGCACCCAGUUGUUGUGAGUGUUGGCCGACCCUUCCUCUUGUGUGAUUCAUGGACCCUUAGCAUUGCAUCACCUGGGAGCUUUUGGAAUUGAAGACUCUCAGCGCUCACCGGAAGGACCUCCUGGGCCAGAAUCUGCAUUUUAACAAGAUGCCCAGACAGACAAGGGGAGUGGUUCCUGUGAUGGGAUCAGUCAGAUGCCUGCCUGGCCGCUCCCCCUGAGGGGACUUGGGCUCCUCUUAGCAUUGGCAGGCCGGUAUAAACUUCCGGCUCAGAUCGAGCUAUGCCUGAUGCUGCCUUAAGCCUUAUGAGGUCGCCAAGGAACCGCAGGUGAG